UAUAAAUAAGCCGACCGGAGAGAUCUUAGCUCUCUUCUCUUCCGGCGAGGUUUGAGAACAGUAGAUCUGUAUGUGGUCUUGCUUAUCUGAAGUUGAGGCCUGUAGUGACUGCUGUUGUCUGCCACACGUGAGGGGAGAGUGCUGGGCCACAUCCAGCCGUCCUACUUCUCUCAAGGGAAGUGAUAUGCCAGGCUGGGUAUAUGCCCAUGUGUGAGAGGCUACCAGCGCCCAUGUAUCCAUGAGGGACUGAGGCAAGGUUUUAUGAUAUCCUGACUCUUAUUGCUCAAUGUCAAAAAGUCAAGGCAGCAGAAAUGGCUCUGAGUUGCCAGGAGUCAUUUUCCCCUCAGGCCAAGGAAGGGAAUAGGUCUAUCAUGUGUUGUCUAAUGGCUGUGCAGGUCUGUUCAUUACACCAGGAAGAUCAGUACUGCAGUGCUGCCCUCGGUUCUGGAGUUCCAUAUCUGGAAAAGAUGGGAUGGAUCACGAAGUGACUACAGUCCUAGAAGAGAGCUUGGCUGAAGUCAACUGUAUUACAACAGGUCUGGAUUUCACUCACGGGGAACAUAGCUUUUCCUUUACACUGAACAAUCAAAUUUGCCAAGCUUGUCUCUGGCAGCCAGACUUGACCAAGUGCAGUUGCUGUAGUACAGAAAGAAACACUCUAAACUAAGCAUUUAUGGCUGUGCAGAGAUCCAGAGACUGUCACAAGGAGAUGAGGAGGAGCCCCCUUUCACCAUUUUGUUCGUCUCCCUCCCCUCAGCCAGCAAGUGGCUAAUUCUGUCCCCAGAGUUGUCCACAAUUCUCCACUGUAAACAUCAAGAAUGAUAGACCAUCCCUAUCUCUUUGUGCUGACUAUAUGAAAUUUUAUGGACCAUCAAUGCUCUUAAGAGCACUCUGGAAAUGGAAUAGUAUCAUCAUUCAACUCCUUGCAGGACUAGUAGUGAGAACAGUUUUGAGCAAAACUGGAUGAAGCAGUAGUUUUAGUCUUAGUUUAGGUUUCUGGGGGCUAUGCAGCAGUCUUGCAGACAUU